rnacentral:tmRNA from 1 species
ACUCUUUCGCCGCGCAAAGGCUGCGCCUAUAUUCGCAGGUGCCGCUCGCAAGAGCGGCUAUGGCGAUAAACGGACUUCGUAAUAAGCCUUUCGGACCCGGGGGCGGUACCCGGCGCCUCCACCAAAGCCCUGACGGGCUGCAUCCUGCGGCGAAAGCACAGGGUUUUGGCGGGGGCGAAAUAGGAUCGACGAGGGUGUAAAGGUUGUUCUUUUGCUCGGCAUGGUUCCGCCGUUAUCGGGCCAAAAGCAUAGUUGCCAACGACAACAAUGCUCGGGUCGCCGUCGCCGCGUAAGCGGUGCUGGUUCCCAAACCAAAGCCCUUGCGCUUAGCCGCGUAAGGCGGGGCUCGGAGGCGCCUGGCAACAGAAGCCUCCACU